rnacentral:rRNA from 1 species
ACUCCUACGGGAGGCAGCAGUGGGGAAUAUUGCACAAUGGGGAAAGCCCAUCGAUGCAGCCAUGCCGCGCUGUGUGAAGAAGGCCAAUUCGGGCUUUGGUUAAAGACACUUUCAGUAGGGAGGAAGGUAGUGUAGUUAACACCUGCAUUAUUUGACGUUACCUACAGAAGAAGCACCGGCUAACUCCGUGCCAGCAGCCGCGGUAAUACGGAGGGUGCGAGCGUUAAUCGGAAUUACUGGGCGUAAAGCGCAUGCAGGCGGCCUGUUAAGUCAGAUGUGAAAGCCCGGGGCUUAACCUCGGAAUUGCAUUUCAAACUGGCAGGCUAGAGUCUUGUAGAGGGGGUGGAG